rnacentral:lncRNA from 1 species
CCACACGUCUGUGUCCCGGGUUCCACGCCGAGCCCGUGAAGUUUGGCUGCCUCUCCCGCAGCCUGGGGAGACGAGUGGCUUUCCGGGUACGGCCUCUGGCUGGAAGGCCAGCAGAGACAUGGAGGUACCAACCUUCGGCAUUUAUGUUUUACAAAUGAAUGUCCGGGACACCGAGAGGUUCAGAGACCCCGCCAAAGUCAAGCAGCUUGUAGGAGGAAGCAUUGCGAUGUGUCGGCUUGGUACCCAGAGCAGCAGGAAGAAAUAAUCUACUCCCCACUUAAUACGGUGAUAAUUCCUCCUGGGGUAGUGGAAGGUCGAACACGAGUGGAUUGCUGGCAGUGUGUGUGGAGAAUGAAUACCUGAGGACCUGAGGUCUGGGAAAGGCCCCACAACGAUUCCAAGCGGCUAGCGUUGUGCAUGCGAGGAGGAUCUACAUGCUGCUUCACCAGACCGUCGUAGAAAACAAGCUUGAGGCUCUUGCAAGAUUAUGCAUCUUAGACCAGGGGCAGAUUCUUCAAGCAUCAGGCAGAGCGGCCUCUGAGUACAGAGCUGUACCCCCCACCCCCCAGAUGGGAGAGGAUAAACAGGGAGAAAACAGGGUAAAGAGUAAUUGACUACAAAUAAAUGUCUGUAUUCAUUGUUUGGAAGUGAACAAAGACUGCUGUACUCAUCUCCUUAAUGUGCGGCUGUUAAAGUUGUCUCAGGUAAACGCCUGGAAGUAGAACUACAGAUUUAAGUGCGUGCACACCUCCGGCCUGACCCAGUCUUGCCCAAUUGCUCUUCAAAAUCACUAGAAGGCUCCCGAUUGACGUCCAAAGUGUUCAAACUUCUGUUGGGAGUUGAGUGGGCACUGCCUCUCUUCCUCUGUAGCACAGGAGCAGAGCACUUGCCCUGCAUGCUCUCGUCCCAGGUUUGAUCCCCAUGCUACAGCAAGUUGAAAUGGACUGCCCUGAAUGGCCUCCUUGGAAGAGUCAUAUGCCUCUCAGAUUUUACAGUCUGUCACAACUAUUCAGUUCUCCAUGGUAGCUCAGGGUAUUCCAAUAAAACUUUAUUUAUAAAAACAAGAGCUAGCUCAAUUUGGCCUAAGGGCUGUAGGAUAUGGUCCCCCUGCUCUAUAUUGUCUCCAACAUUUGUUAUCAUUGCUUUG